CUCUUCUUGCAAGGCCUUUCGCCCCUGGUCUAUGUGCGCCUAGUCCAUGUUGCCUUUCUUUUCCAACACCACCUCCAAGUCCGUGUCUGUUUCCUCCUUUCAAGGGUCUCCUGCUACCCCACUCUCUUUCCUUUUCUUUUUCUUCCUUUGCAGAGCCGGCUCCUCAAUGACUGGCUGCUUUACCUUCUUCUUGGACUUCAUCUUUUUCUUCGCGGGGGUUUUAGGGCCAUCUCCUAUGGGGAUGUAUUCCGGAGCCUCCACUUUGACUGGCUUCUUUUUACUUCGUUUCCUAGGGCAGCUCUCCAUGGACCUGGAGGGCUUGGAGUGGCUUGGGAGGGCGUCUCCCUCCUGGUGGAUUUUUUUUUCUUCUUCGCCUUCCCACCGUGUUCCCUGGGGCUCUUGUGCUUCCGCUUCUGCCCCAAGGCUACCUGUUCCUCACCCUCCUUCCCCACUGAGCAAGUGUCCACAGCAUCCCCGACCUCGCAGAACCAAGGGUCCUGGACUGAGAAAGCUGUGGGGUCCUGGGCCCCCUUUUUUUCCUUCUUAAGUUUUUUAAGCUUCUUGCCAACUCUGGUUUCCUCCUCACCCUGUCUGGGGUCUGGGGAGAUUUUCACCCCAGAGGCAUGGGAGAUGGCCAGAGAUGACUUCCUUUUCUUCUGCCCACUGAGGAACUCCAAAUGGCCAAGCACCUGGUUCCUUGGGCUGGAUGACUUCUCUGUCCGUCUGGCACGCAGCGUGGUCUCAGGUUCUACGUGCCCCUCGCAAAGGGUGCUGACACCCUUCUCUUUCUUCUUUUUCUUCACUAGAGGCAUCUCAGGUGCCUGCCCGUGGACCACACUCUUAGAGGGGGCUGUGGCUUUUAUAGGAGAAACAUGGGCAAAGUAAUCAUCAUUGUUUAAAAUUGAGUAUUGAGUCCCUGGUUCUUUGACCACUUUCUUCUUCUUUUUCUUCUCUGGGAUCCCAGGGCCCAGGUCUACUUUCCGGUGGGCCAAACUUCCCCGCCUCCACGUGAGAGCCGGCUCCGCCGUGACCCGGAAGUCCACUUUCGGGUUGCACGCGUGGCUUCUCUUACACACAAAUUUUCUUCCACUUCUGCCACUCCUGAGACAGCAAGACUGAUACCUUAUUUUCCUCCUCCUCCUUGGCCUACUCAACAUGAAGAUGAUGAGGAUGACGACCUUUACGAUGAUCCACUUCCAUCUAAUGAUUGGUAAAUAUAUCUUUUCUUCCUUAAGAUUUUCUUAAUAAUAUUUUCUUUUCUUUAGUUUACCUUAUUGUAAGAAUCCAAUAUAUAAUAUAUUUAAUACAAAAUAUGUGUUAAUAGACUGUUUAUGUUAUUGUUAAGAAUUCCAGUCAACAGUAGGCUAUUAGUAGUUAAGUUUUUGCGUAGUCAAAAGUCAUACACAAAUUUUCAACUGCAUGCAGGGACAGCACCCCUAACCCCCACAUUGUUCAAAGGUCAACUGUAAUUGGAUUAAUAGCUACUAUAUCUGUAACUAUUUUCUCUUUAUUGAAUUUGUUAAUUUUUUUUUUUUUGCCCCUUCUUUUCCUGCAUUUACUGGUUUAACUGAGCAUUUUAUAUGAUUUCAUUUCAUCUUCUCUCUUCAUGUAUAAAUCAUACUGUUUUUUUAAAAUUGUGGUUUUCCCUAGAUUUUAAGAUAUAAGUUUUUUUUUCUUUUUUUUUUCUUUAUUAUUAUUAUACUUUAAGUUUUAGGGUACAUGUUCACAAUGUGCAAGUUAGUUACAUAUGUAUACAUGUGCCAUGCUGGUGCACUGCACCCACUAACUCAUCAUCUAGCAUUAGAUAUAUCUC
rnacentral:lncRNA from 1 species